AAUUGAAGAGUUUGAUCAUGGCUCAGAUUGAACGCUGGCGGCAGGCCUAACACAUGCAAGUCGAACGGUAACAGGAAGCAGCUUGCUGCUUUGCUGACGAGUGGCGGACGGGUGAGUAAUGUCUGGGAAACUGCCUGAUGGAGGGGGAUAACUACUGGAAACGGUAGCUAAUACCGCAUAACGUCGCAAGACCAAAGAGGGGGACCUUCGGGCCUCUUGCCAUCGGAUGUGCCAGAUGGGAUUAGCUAGUAGGUGGGGUAACGGCUCACCUAGGCGACGAUCCCUAGCUGGUCUGAGAGGAUGACCAGCCACACUGGAACUGAGACACGGUCCAGACUCCUACGGGAGGCAGCAGUGGGGAAUAUUGCACAAUGGGCGCAAGCCUGAUGCAGCCAUGCCGCGUGUAUGAAGAAGGCCUUCGGGUUGUAAAGUACUUUCAGCGGGGAGGAAGGGAGUAAAGUUAAUACCUUUGCUCAUUGACGUUACCCGCAGAAGAAGCACCGGCUAACUCCGUGCCAGCAGCCGCGGUAAUACGGAGGGUGCAAGCGUUAAUCGGAAUUACUGGGCGUAAAGCGCACGCAGGCGGUUUGUUAAGUCAGAUGUGAAAUCCCCGGGCUCAACCUGGGAACUGCAUCUGAUACUGGCAAGCUUGAGUCUCGUAGAGGGGGGUAGAAUUCCAGGUGUAGCGGUGAAAUGCGUAGAGAUCUGGAGGAAUACCGGUGGCGAAGGCGGCCCCCUGGACGAAGACUGACGCUCAGGUGCGAAAGCGUGGGGAGCAAACAGGAUUAGAUACCCUGGUAGUCCACGCCGUAAACGAUGUCGACUUGGAGGUUGUGCCCUUGAGGCGUGGCUUCCGGAGCUAACGCGUUAAGUCGACCGCCUGGGGAGUACGGCCGCAAGGUUAAAACUCAAAUGAAUUGACGGGGGCCCGCACAAGCGGUGGAGCAUGUGGUUUAAUUCGAUGCAACGCGAAGAACCUUACCUGGUCUUGACAUCCACGGAAGUUUUCAGAGAUGAGAAUGUGCCUUCGGGAACCGUGAGACAGGUGCUGCAUGGCUGUCGUCAGCUCGUGUUGUGAAAUGUUGGGUUAAGUCCCGCAACGAGCGCAACCCUUAUCCUUUGUUGCCAGCGGUCCGGCCGGGAACUCAAAGGAGACUGCCAGUGAUAAACUGGAGGAAGGUGGGGAUGACGUCAAGUCAUCAUGGCCCUUACGACCAGGGCUACACACGUGCUACAAUGGCGCAUACAAAGAGAAGCGACCUCGCGAGAGCAAGCGGACCUCAUAAAGUGCGUCGUAGUCCGGAUUGGAGUCUGCAACUCGACUCCAUGAAGUCGGAAUCGCUAGUAAUCGUGGAUCAGAAUGCCACGGUGAAUACGUUCCCGGGCCUUGUACACACCGCCCGUCACACCAUGGGAGUGGGUUGCAAAAGAAGUAGGUAGCUUAACCUUCGGGAGGGCGCUUACCACUUUGUGAUUCAUGACUGGGGUGAAGUCGUAACAAGGUAACCGUAGGGGAACCUGCGGUUGGAUCACCUCCUUA
rnacentral:rRNA from 1 species